AAUGGAUAACCGUGGUAAUUCUAGAGCUAAUACAUGCUGUAAGCCCGACUUUGCGGAAGGGCCGUAUUUAUUAUAUAACAGACCAAUAUUCCUCGUGUCUAUUGUGGUGAAUCAUAGUAACUAAUCGGAUCGCAUGGGAAUUUCCCGCGACAAACCAUUCAAGUUUCUGCCCCAUCAACUUUCCAUGGUAGUGUAUUGGACUACCAUGGCUUUUACGGGUAACGGAGGAUUAAGGUUCGAUUCCCGAAAGGGAGCCUGAAAAACGGCUACCACAUCUAAGGGAGGCAGCAGGCGCGUAAAUUACCCAAUCCUAAUUCAGGGAGGUAGUGACAAAAAAUAACGGAUCGGGGCUUUGCCCUGGGACUGAAAUGAGAUGAAUUUACACCCCUUUUACGAGAAUCAAUU
rnacentral:rRNA from 1 species